AUACUACUUCCUCCGUCCGGAAAUAGUUGUCACCAAAAUAAAUAAAAGGGGAUGUAUCUAGAUGUAUAUUAGUUCUAGCUACAUCCAUUUUUAUCCAUUUUGAUGACAAGUAUUUUUGGACGGAGGGAGUAGUAG
rfam:Triticum aestivum genome assembly, contig: Triticum_aestivum_CS42_TGACv1_scaffold_405041_5BL